UCCUCCCAUCGCUGCCACCAACCUCGCCUUCCCGUCCCAACAGAGGGAUGCCCUUAAGCCCGCGCACGGCCCAUGCCCACCGGCCGCGGGCGCUCAGCAGGGAGAGAUGGAGGGACGAAGGGAAGGUGUCACGGCGUCACCGCCUCCCUGCCACACGAGCCCCGCUGCCUUCCCAGGGCGGAGCGACACUGACAGGGAGGACAGAGGACGCCGCAACGUUGAAGGGUGAGGAUGCUCCUCGCGAGGGAGGGGCUGCCGGCAGGGCUGCAGGUCUCCAGCCCCGGCCAGAGCGCCCUGAAGCUGGAGAGGAGAGAGCAGGCCGUGACUGCGACACGCGGUGUUGUCGCCAUGGAGAACAAGGGUAAAAAGAAGUUCGCGGGGAAGAAUGGAAAAGCGCCGCGUGGAAAAGUGCCACACGGGAAGAGGAAGUUUAAGAAGGAUAAUGAUUCAGGUCCACCAAAGAAGCUCUUUAACAAAGGAGAUGAGGAGGGAAAGCCGAAAUCCAUUUCCAAGAAAUUUGUUAAAGGACAGUUAAGACCUGGAAAAGCUACUGUCAAACAGUUCAAGAAUAAACAGCAAUCAGAAAAGUUUGCAAAGAAGAGGAAACUCCAGGAUGGUGAAGAGGGAGGAUCAGAUUCUAAGAAGCCAAAAUGGAGCGACUUCAAAAAGAAAAGGAAGGAGUUAAAGCAAACCAGACAAAUUAAUGAUAAAAGUAAUUAUGACAUAAUUGUAAAAUCGAAGCAAAUAUGGGAAAAUGUGAGAAGGAAGAAAUGCCAUAAGGAGAAGAGAGAAAAGCUAAUGAAUGAACUACAGAAGCUUCUUCAUGGGAAAAUUAAAAAUCUGGCAUUUGCACAUGAUUCAACUCGAGUGAUCCAGUGCUUUAUUCAGUAUGGCAACGAGAAGCAAAGACAAGAGACAUUUGAAGAAUUGAAAGAUAGCCUAGUAGAGUUGAGCAAGUCAAAAUAUUCCAGAAAUAUUGUGAAGAAGUUUCUUAUGUAUGGGACAAAAACACAAGUUGCAGAAAUAAUCAAAAGUUUUAAAGGCCAUGUGAAAAAAAUGCUCCGUCAUGCCGAGGCGUCUGCUGUGGUGGAAUAUGCGUAUAAUGACAAAGCCGUUCUGGAGCAGAGGAAUAUGCUGACAGAAGAACUGUACGGGAACACUUUCCAGGUUUACAAGACACCAGUUGUCCCAACACUGGAUAAAGUGUUAGAAGCUCAGCCUGAAAAGAGAGAGGCCAUCUUGGAUGAAAUGAAGCAGAUUCUAACACCAAUGGCACAAAAAGAGGCGGUGAUAAAGCACUCACUGGUACAUAAAGUAUUUUUGGACUUUUUCGUUCACGCUCUUCCAAAACAAAGAUCUGAAAUGAUAGAAGCUAUCAGAGAGGCUGUCAUCUACCUGGCACACACUCAUGAUGGAGCCCGAGUAGCAAUGCACUGUUUAUGGCAUGGCACUCCCAAGGACAGAAAAGUCAUUGUGAAAACUAUGAAGACAUAUAUUGAAAAAAUAGCAACGGGUGAAUUUUCUCAUCUGGUCUUGCUGGCAGCAUUUGAUUGCAUUGAUGACACGAAACUUGUGAAGCAGUUAAUUAUAUCAGAAAUAAAUGCUUCUUUGCCCAAUAUAAUAAACAACAAAUAUGGAAAGAAGGUCUUGUUGUACUUGCUAAGUCCUAGAGAUCCUGCACAUUUUGUUCCAGAAAUCAUCACACUUCUGCAACAGGGAGAUGGAAAUGCCUAUAGUAAGAAGAAUACUGAACUCCGUCGCCGUGAACUCCUGGAAGCCAUUUCCUCUCCUUUGCUUGAAUAUUUGCAAGAACAUACCCAAGAAGUAGUGAUAGACAAAGCUACCUUUGUCUUGGUUGCUGCCAUCUUAAGAACAGCACUUGGUGACAUCCAGCCUGCACUAGAUGCAAUUGCUAAUUUAGCAGCAGAAGAGCUGAUUCCGGGUGGCCGUGAUGGACAGCUUCAUAUUGCAGAACAUCCGGCAGGACAUCUAGUUUUGAAAUGGUUAAUAGAACAAGAUGAAAAAGUGAGAGAAAGUGGAAAAGAAGUUUGCUUUGGAAGAACACUGGUGGAACGGGUUGGUAUUGAGAAUCUGAAGACCUGGGCAGAAGUAAAUAGAGGUGCCAUUAUUCUGUGUUGCCUUCUCCGGAGCACUGAUGAAAAAGUGGCAAAUACAGUCAAAAAAGGACUGAAAAAGCUCAUCCCAAAGCUGAAGCAGAAUAAAAAUGUAAAAGGAAUAGAAGCAUUACUGGAGAAAUUGACUUCCUAAUGUAAAUGGAGAUAAAAUUAUUAUUUACAUCAGUGCAAUCCACUGAGAUUUGGUUUGGGGGCAAGUUUAGACACAUGAAAAAUCGCAUCCAGCUGUGCAAGGAGACCCAGUAACCUUAGGACACAAGGUACCCUUGAGGGGCUGCAUCUGAAAAAUAAAAUUGGAAGAGUGAAGCAUAGCUAUCUGACAGUGGAAACAGAAGCUGAAAUCUUAAGGAGUGUAGCUGCUGCUAAUAUUUAGCUUCUCCAUUUCCUCCCAGUAUCCAAAGCACAAGCUGUAUCAUUGCUGUGACAAAGGGUGGGUUGCACCUUCUCCACAGCACUCAGAUAUUUUCUUCAUGGCUCUCCGUGUGAAGUCAACCUUCCCUCUCUCUUUCUUGAGAGCUGUGUACUCGUAAGCCUUCAGCUUGCUGUAAUAGUCUGAGAAUUUGUUGUAGAGGAUGGAGAUGGGCAUGCCAUUCAGGAUUAUUCCAAAAGCAAUGCAGAGGAAAGCAAACAGGCGACCAAGCAGCCCACCACCAAGCAUGGGGAAUGCUGGUGAAGUUGGUACUGGAGACGUCAUGCUCCACUGUGUAGACCAUGGCAGAGAAGGCGAAGAUCCCCAUAGCAAUGAAGAGCAACAGGCAGCCCACCUGCUGGUAGCACUGGCGCAAGGUAAAGCCGAAGGCACGCAGCCCUGUGGAGUGGCGGGCCAGCUUGAGGAUGCGGAAGAUGCGCAUGAGGCGCAUGAUGCGAAGCACUUGUCCUACCUUGCCCACCCGUCCCACCUUCUCGAUAUCGUGCUCAUGCUGAGAGCCUCGACCCCGGGGCUGGUCAUCAUCAGUAAAGCAUUCGAGCAGCAGCUGCAGAUAGAGGGGCAGGAUGGCAAUGAGGUCUACUGCAUUGAGGGCGCUGCUGGCAAAGCGGCGUAGGUCUGGGGUAGAGACCAAGCGCAGCAGGUACUCCAGUGUGAAGAAUGCAAUGCACAGGGUCUCAAUGUGCUCCAAGACAGGCCGGCUAUCCCCACUCUUCCAGUCUACCUGCUGCAUCUCCUCCACAGUGUUGAGUGCCAGGGCCACCACGGAAAUGAGCACAAAGAAGCUGGAGGCCACUGCCAUCACCUUGGCGGUGACAGAGGAGAAGGGCUUCUCCAUGAGGUUCCAGAGGCGCCAACGCUGGGGACCAUAGUAGCGCAUGUGGUGGAAGAGCUGCUCGUUCUCCUCAGCCUCUGCCUGGGACCGCAGCUCCCGCUGGACCUUCAGCUGUUCUCUCAGCUCGUCACGGCGCUCCUCGAAGCAGAUGCGGCAACAGCGAGGGGUGUAUUUGAGACGCACACCCCAGUAGCUCAGCUCCUCCAGGAAGCUACAGGGGCACAGCUCGUCCCGCACACGCAGCACCCCCGAGGCAUAGAAGUUGUACACCAGCUGGAAGACAGCUGGGUCCCGGUCAAAGAAAUACUCAUCAACCUGGGCAGCAUAGUCAUCGCACAGGCCCAGCUGGCAACGACGGUCAGUGGAGGUGGCCAGGCGGCCCAGGCGGGUCUUGGGAUAGAUGGCCACUGCCUGGUAGGUGAGACGGUAGCUUUGGCCGCCAACGUUGAUGUUCAGCAUGGAUGGAGCAGACGCUGUGGCCGGGGCAGGAGAACAAGGAAUGAAUGAUGGGGCCUUGUUUUCUCCCUUAAAUGCAUCUUCACUUAGCCAUUUUCCUUGUUCUUUCUCUUCGUCUUCCUCAUCUUCAUCAUCCACAUAAUAGUUGUAAUUCCCCUCAGGUCCCAGUAGCAGUAGGGAUUGGGUAUUCAAGGGAGCGUUAGCAGAAAAACCACUCUGCUUGUCUACAUGCAUGCCUUCGUUGUCCUUCCCCUUGUUAAGCUGUGGGAGGAUGUUUGGUGCUUCCCCCUCUCUGCCUUUACAUUUCAGGAAGGGAAACUCUCGCUGCAUGUUAAACUGCAACAUACUAUUAUUCCUUACUCUUCUCCCUUCUUUGCAUUCACCUGAUCAAGCAACUAACACCAGUCCUUUCCAACACUACAAAGGCUGACAAUCCUGUUUUCUUCUCUCUUUAUCUCAGCAGUAUCAUGCACAGCAGUGGUUCUGCAUUUUUCUCCCUGCCAGCCACCACUUCAUUUGUUGUGAAAGCUCCGUGUGGGAUAUAGACAUAUGAAGACUGCUGUUGACCGUUUUAAUCUUGCUGACAGCAAAGAUCUGAGUGCUUAGAGGAGGGGAUUUAGGGGCUAUUAUCCUGUUCCAUCCUCAUUUCCCUCAGGCUGUGACGUGAAUGAUUAUGGAUCCAUAAAUCUAUGAAAAAUCAGUAGGGGGGGAAAAACCCUAAAGUUUUAUUCCUAAUAAAACCCACACAUUUCCUAUUUCAGUACAUAUGGAUUUAAAAUAAUCUCAAAAUGAAAAUGUGUGAGGGGCAGAGAGACAGAAAGAGAGAGAAAGAGAGAGAGAGAGAGAGAACAUUACAGAUUUCUUUCAUGCUCAUGAAGAUAGCAGGCUUGGUUUUCCUUAAUGAAAAUAAUGAAUAAUUGAUAUGCAGAUAAAGGGUAGGAACUCACUAGAGUACCUCUUAAAAUGUUUUCAAGAGGUGAGCAAAUAAAAGUCAUCCCUUUUUAUUCCCAGAUAGAAUAUCUCCAUUUGAUUAAGAGCUGAGGAAAGUUGCAGCUUUGGCUGUGCUCUGGGAGUGCAGGUCUCAUGCUACACUGGACUCAGUGGAAAUGAAGGGCAGGGAUGUGAAGGGGUUUCCAGCUUCAAACUCUUUAUGAGCUGCUGAGAAACAGCAUAAAGCCACUCUUGUUUCUCUUGUAGAUCAUUUUAGAGUAGCAUAACACUGCAGUGGGCAACUAGUAGGAUAGGAGAGGUGCUUUCUCUUGCUUUGAUGGAGGUUUCAUCCUCAGCUCUGGUUGAACUGGCACAAGCAUCUCCUGUAACAAUGAGUAUCCUGAAAGCCAGCUUGCUUCCCCUUGUCACUGGGAGCACUUCAGUUGAGCUACGGCUCCUGUAAAGCAGAGGAUACACACAACAAAAGGAUGGUUCCUUUGGCAUGCUCUUAGCACCUGAGUUAUAACUUCUAAACACCAGCUCAUUUAUUCCAUCUGUAUCCAGGCUGAUGCAGGAAAGGAAAAGGCACUGGAAGAUUGCUAGCUUUGGCAACACCCUUGCUGGUCUGGAAGGCCUUCCAUUUGCAAUCCUGUAGCCUGCCUUCUCCCUACCCUUUCACACAAGAUACUGGGACAGUGUAUUCCAGAGUCCCUGCAGCAGUGUUUUUACUUUGUUGUCUUUAAGUUCCUCUUCUGUCAUUGGUCUCAUGGUCUUGCACCUGCAGACCCCAAUAUUGCUGUUCUGGUGGUGUCCCAUGUGAAGCAAUUGCUGUUGCUGUGAGAUUGCCCCUUUAUUUUUUCCUGUUUCUUUACCCUCAGUUGUAGCUUUUAUAUUUACUAGCUCUUGACAAACUGGAAGAUGUCAUAGCUAAGCAUUUUGCAAUACUUUUGUUCUCAGGGUGUAUUCUAAGGUUUCUGUGUUUAAGGUUUCUUUGAGUCACAUUGUUUAAAGCCUGGAUUAUUUGUAAUUCGUAUUUAACUGUUCUUGAAAGUCUUUUGCUUCAUGAA